UACGUAGGGUGCGAGCGUUGUCCGGAAUUACUGGGCGUAAAGAGCUCGUAGGUGGUUUGUCGCGUUGUUCGUGAAAACUCACAACUCAAUUGUGGGCGUGCGGGCGAUACGGGCAGACUGGAGUACUGCAGGGGAGACUGGAAUUCCUGGUGUAGCGGUGGAAUGCGCAGAUAUCAGGAGGAACACCGGUGGCGAAGGCGGGUCUCUGGGCAAUAACUGACGCUGAGGAGCGAAAGCGUGGGGAGCGAACAGG
rnacentral:rRNA from 1 species